UGGCAGACUGGGAAAUCUCUGCAGGCAAAUGUGAUGUUCCUGAAGAAGUCACACACUUACCCGUAGAGAUUCUUCAGUUUGUCA
rnacentral:pre_miRNA from 1 species